rnacentral:tRNA from 2 species
GCCAGAGUAGCUCAGGGGUAGAGCACCGCUUUCGUAAAGCGGCGGUCACGAGUUCAAAUCUCGUCUCUGGCUCCA